GUAAGUAUUUUACAGUAUUAGUCCUGUAGAGAGCAGUAGAUCGUUUUAUUAAAUUGUUUUAUGCGCUCCCUUUGGUACUGUACAUGAGUAGGAACGGGGAGGGAGGAGCGUUCGUAGUAUUUCUCUUCAUUUCAAAUCCCUGUCGUGGCAGCACGGGUAAGGCAGAGGACUUUUCUCCCCUUCAAACUAAGGGGAAAACCCACCAGCGAGAAUCUAGUGCACGUCCUAAAGAGCAAACGGAGGACUUUGGGAGGAGGAAACAGUAGUUUGAAGGCACGCUGCGGUGGCAUCGGCUCGCUGUGUGCACUAGUGUCUCCACGCUUGCACUGGAUACACGAAGCAGGACGUUUUCACUGAUCUGCGACUCGCAGGAUCCCCGUGAUCUCCCUGAAAGCCGCCAAACGUUCACACGACAUCAUUCUAUAGGAGGUAUCUGUUGCUCAAGAUGGCGGCUGGUCUGGUUCACUCAAGGACGGGUCAGGCUGAGAGAGACCUGAAGAGCCUUCUGCGUUCUAGUCAGCGAAUGUAAAUGAGGUGAGGACAGCUUUUUUUUUUUUCACCCUAUGAUGUUUGGUUUACAAAGCUGGAUUGGGGUGCACUUCCCUUAUUUUUGUCACCC
ensembl:lncRNA